rnacentral:rRNA from 1 species
GACGAACGCUGGCGGCGUGCUUAACACAUGCAAGUCGAACGGAAAGGCCCUGCUUUUGUGGGGUGCUCGAGUGGCGAACGGGUGAGUAACACGUGAGUAACCUGCCCUUGACUUUGGGAUAACUUCAGGAAACUGGGGCUAAUACCGGAUAGGAGCUCCUGCUGCAUGGUGGGGGUUGGAAAGUUUCGGCGGUUGGGGAUGGACUCGCGGCUUAUCAGCUUGUUGGUGGGGUAGUGGAUUGCCAAGGCAUUGACGGGUAGCCGGCCUGAGAGGGUGACCGGCGACAUAGGGACUAAGGUACGGCCCAGACUCCUACGGGAGGCAGCAGUGGGGAAUAUUGCACAAUGGGCGGAAGCCUGAUGCAGCAACGCCGCGUGCGGGAUGACGGCCUUCGGGUUGUAAACCGCUUUCGCCUGUGACGAAGCGUGAGUGACGGUAAUGGGUAAAGAAGCACCGGCUAACUACGUG